GAGCUGAGGUAAACGCCAGUAUGUAAUGGUUUGGGGUUGGACCACAAUUCCUUGGUUGUAAUCGCACGCGCAGGGAACUCCAUUUUCGCCUUGACGAUCAGAGGGGUUGCUGUAAGGCUUUUUACGCGCAGCUGUAUUUCGGAAAGUUGUAGUUUCAACGAUUUCAUUGAAGAUAUCCUGGCGAAUACUUCAUGUAAAGCGAAGUUAAAGUAAAAGUGAAAGUGAGACAGAUUUUUUGUUUGAGGAAUCUUGGAGUGUUAUGAUUCAAACGAACUGAGGAGCUGUUUCUGCAAGGACAGGACGUACUUCUGGACGGUGAUAGCGACUCCGACUGGGAGGCCCCGGUGCCAAGCUGCCCGCUCUACCUGUGCCCCCAGUGGUGUUCAUAUGCCACAGUUCAUUACUGCAGGCAUGACUGUGCGUCAGAGCCAAAAGGGCACAGCAUGGAUGCGUCGUUGUGUUCUGUGUCGCAUGAAAUGCACCACUUGUUCAGUUUGCCUCUGCUUUACAUCAGAAAGAGACUGCUAUGGGACAGGGCACAGGCAGCAAAAUACUGUGACGAGGACUUCCAAGGGGUGUGUACUGUUUUUUUGUUGUUUUUUUCUAAUAUAAAAAAAAAGAAUGUGUGUGUGUUAGAAUUGCUUUUUGAUAUGUUGUAUAUAGUUAUUUUCACUGCUGUAUAUAGUUAUAGGUCAUUUCACCAAUUCGGCCACUUGGGUACAUUUGGGCAACUUGUGUGGGACACCUGGGUGACUUCAUGCUAAAUGUCAUGUAAGCUCACCCAUUCCUGAAGUUAUCAGUCUCACUUUGCACACCUACAGUUGCCCUCUUGUGUUAUCCAUCAAAAUUAUCUCCAGCAUCCUAUCUGACUGUGUGGCUAUUCUAGUACAUGUGAAAGAUGAUACUACAACAAUAAAAAACAGAAAACGUA